CAAUGUAUAUCCAAUCAUUGCAUUAGGACUCAAUCAUAAUGGAACUAUACUUUAUCCUAAGGAGCAUAAAGUAUGGGCCCAUCAAAAGGGAGGAAAGUGGCAAACAAUUGAUGUGAAUGCAUAAUAACAUGCUUGAAGCCCAAGACAUUUGUCCUGACACUGAAUAAAAUAUUUGCCACUUUGAGAUACAUCCUAAUGAAACCCUUGAAACUACUUGUAUAUAUUGGGAAAGGCUGUGUUUGCAUGAGAAACCAUUGUGAUUCUAUAGUCAUAGAUAAUACUAUUGUAGAUACCAGUAAUCACUCUAAUGUUUGUGUUUGUAAUUUUACCAAAAUUCUAGGAUGUUAUUUUAGUUACUCAGCUCCUGUCACCUCUUAUCAACUUAUUGCACCCCAUUAUAUUCUGCUUCAUCUGCCACCUACUCCUAUUGGAAUGAACCUUACCUUGGUGAAGAAAUUGCUGAUACAUGAAGACUUAAAGUGGCUGAUGAAACAAGUUCGAGAAAAUGGACAAAAGACUCUGAUUACUGUCCAUCAUGAUGUACGAGAAGUAUAUCAAGUGAUGGAAAGAGUAAAGAGAGAUGAAAAACACCGUUGGUGAGACAGUUUGGAUGGUCACCAGCUGCCACAGGAAUCUUCAAGAAGAUGCUUCACCCUGUUGUUGUUUUGUUAAUACUCAUUGUAUUAUGCUUUAUGCUGACAAUUAGUUUGUAUGUUAAAUUCUGGAUUAUGAUGCAACGUUUAGCAUCCCUACACAAUGUACAUACACUUGAUAAACCUCAUCCCGAGAAUGUAUGUGAUAUCCCUGACAUAUUCCAAAUGUCGUGAAGCUUGAGUGACUAUAGCCACGGGGUGGAUUAUGUGGUGCAAUUGACUAAAGUAACUAGGAAAAUAAAACUAACAUUCACAUUUUAAA